rnacentral:rRNA from 1 species
UACGAAGGGGGCUAGCGUUGCUCGGAAUCACUGGGCGUAAAGGGAGCGUAGGCGGGUCUUUAAGUCAGGGGUGAAAUCCUGGAGCUCAACUCCAGAACUGCCUUUGAUACUGAGGAUCUUGAGUUCGGGAGAGGUGAGUGGAACUGCGAGUGUAGAGGUGAAAUUCGUAGAUAUUCGCAAGAACACCAGUGGCGAAGGCGGCUCACUGGCCCGAUACUGACGCUGAGGCACGAAAGCGUGGGAGCAAACAGG